GACGAACGCUGGCGGCGUGCUUAACACAUGCAAGUCGAAUGGAAAGGCCCUGCUUUUGUGGGGUGCUCGAGUGGCGAACGGGUGAGUAACACGUGAGUAACCUGCCCUUGACUUUGGGAUAACUUCAGGAAACUGGGGCUAAUACCGGAUAGGAGCUCCUGCUGCAUGGUGGGGGUUGGAAAGUUUCGGCGGUUGGGGAUGGACUCGCGGCUUAUCAGCUUGUUGGUGGGGUAGUGGCUUACCAAGGCUUUGACGGGUAGCCGGCCUGAGAGGGUGACCGGCCACAUUGGGACUGCGAUACGGCCCAGACUCCUACGGGAGGCAGCAGUGGGGAAUAUUGCACAAUGGGCGGACGCCUGAUGCAGCAACGCCGCGUGCGGGAUGACGGCCUUCGGGUUGUAAACCGCUUUCGCCUGUGACGAAGCGUGAGUGACGGUAAUGGGUAAAGAAGCACCGGCUAACUACGUG
rnacentral:rRNA from 1 species